AACGUAGGAGACAAACGUUAUCCGGAGUUACUGGGCGUAAAGGGCGCGUAGGCGGCCAUCUAAGUCAGACGUGAAAUCCCCCGGCUUAACCUGGGAACUGCGUCUGAUACUGGAAGGCUUGAGUAUGGGAGAGGGAUGUAGAAUUCCAGGUGUAGCGGUGAAAUGCGUAGAUAUCUGGAGGAAUACCGGUGGCGAAGGCGGCAUCCUGGACCAUUACUGACGCUGAGGCGCGAAAGCUAGGGGAGCAAACGGGG
rnacentral:rRNA from 1 species